AACGAGUCUGCUUCUAAUCGUCUUCGGACAAGGCGUUGUCGCCUUCACUUGACAUCUUGACCUCAAAUCAGGU
rnacentral:rRNA from 1 species